CAUGGCUCAGGACGAACGCUGGCGGCGUGCUUAACACAUGCAAGUCGAACGAAAAUACCAAGCUUGCUUGGUUGAUUAGUGGCGAACGGGUGAGUAACACGUGAGUAACCUGCCCCUUACUUUCCUGGAUAACUGCUCGAAAGGGUAGCUAAUACGGGAUAUUCUGACCAGUCUGCAUGGGUUGGUUUGGAAAGGUUUUUUCUGGUAAGGGAUGGGCUCGCGGCCUAUCAGCUUGUUGGUGGGGUGAUGGCCUACCAAGGCUUUGACGGGUAGCCGGCCUGAGAGGGUGGACGGUCACACUGGGACUGAGAUACGGCCCAGACUCCUACGG
rnacentral:rRNA from 1 species